CCCUCCCAGUAAAGGGGUCAGAGCUGCUUGGGUGGAAGCCCAGAGGGCUGUGGUCAAAGGUCACCGUCCAGUGUCAUUACGAAGAGGACUCACCUCCCAGCAAAAAUGUCACAGUGGUGGUGUGCAUAGAUUCCUGAUUUAGGUCAUUCAUCCAUUUGGUCAAAAAUACAUUUUACUCUGUUACAGACAUGCUGACUAAGUACAUCAUCGGAUGUAUGGCCCUGAUAGGAUUCAUGAUUCUACUUGCAGUAUUCAUAUUCUGCAUCACCUGUCUCCUCUCACUGAAAGCAAAGAGGAACGGACGCCUCGUCAUAACAAGGUGAAUAGUGUUGGUUGUGUGUUGAACAGCAUGAUUAUGACAGCAUACAGAACAUACAGUUUAAAUGUGAAUGCCUGUCUCACCUAACCAUGUCUUCCAGAUCGCCCAGUGACCAGACAUUGCCAGGAGACCCUACCCUAACAAGUAUGUAUGAUGUCACAGUGAAGUGUACGUGUGUAGGCCUAUUAUUAUAGAGAUAUUUACCACAGUCCCGUUUUAACAGCACAUUUCUGUGAUUCUGUUAACACAGCAAGUGACACAACAUAUCCUGUAGAAUCUCAACAGGAAAAGAAGACAUGACAUAAUUAUGUUUUUAUGUAGCUGCCUCACACUCUUCCUCUACUUUACCACUAUAGUGCUUUUUUGGUUUUCUGUGCAUAAACAGUACAGUGGGCUGGCACACAACACAUAAGCAUGUUAUAAAUGAAAAACAGUUGGAAUUGUGGUUUAUUGAAAGGAUUUGAUGAUUUGAUGUUUUCUUUCAAAUAGUGAUUUGUCCUCAUCCCUUUGUUGCAAUAACAGGAAGGUGAAGAUGAUUGGUGCUAUGCCACCGUGUCCCAUGCUGGUGCUCCUCCAUCCUACUCAGUCAAGUUUGAGCAAGGCCAUGACUAUGCCACAAUGGUCAUAUACUGACCAGCAUGUGCCGACCUAAAUGGACAUGAAAGGACUGUUACAUUCCCCAGUUUCAGUGUUGUGGUUUGUGUAUUUAUAUGUUUUUAUUUCAGGAAAUGGCUUCCUGAAAUUCUCCAAGCAGCUGAUUGGUCGGCCCCAUUACUGAUUGGAGAGCUGACCCCGCCUCCUCGUCAGGAUGCAGCUGUCUCCAAUUAACAACUCCUUCUCCAGCUAUAUAAGCCGGUGUUCUGUUGCUCAGAGAGAAGGCUGAUGGCUAUUUCUGUGUUGUUCAGAGUUUUCUUAAGUAUUGUCUAGCUGCUGAUUUGAGGUAUGUGUGUGUGUGCGCGCGCCAUAGAACUGUGGUUUUGAUUAUUGGAAUUGCUUACUCACAUUUGUGUUUUUCAUUUGGUCCCAGGGGGAAGGGGAAGGCACCCAGGGAGUGCUUAGGCAAGAGGCCCGUGGGCAUACAUUACCAUAGUAGUUUAUUGUCUAUGCACACUAGGAAAGACCUGGGCGGACCAUCCCCUGUAUUUUGGUUAGUGCACCAGGUGGUGCUAGUUAAGUUGUGGGUAGGCAGGUAAGGAAAGAGGGGGCUUUAAUAUUUACUUUCUUUGCUUUGGUUCCGUCCAGCCCCUUUUCCCCAAACUCACCGUGCGAAGGAAUAAAUUCCCUGUAAACGGUGUUCUCUGCCUUUUGUCAUCCUUACUCACACCUACAGUCCAUACCUCUUUCACACCACGGAGAGUUGAGUUGUAGCA
ensembl:lncRNA